GUAUAUAUAAUUUAAUUAAAAUGCUAGGCCGGUGACCUAGAAAUGAAA
rnacentral:tRNA from 1 species